rnacentral:rRNA from 1 species
UACGGAGGGGGGCUAGCGUUGUUCGGAAUUACUGGGCGUAAAGCGCACGUAGGCGGCUUUGUAAGUAAGAGGUGAAAGCCUGGUGCUCAACACCAGAACUGCCUUUUAGACUGCAUCGCUUGAAUCCAGGAGAGGUGAGUGGAAUUCCGAGCGUAGAGGUGAAAUUCGUAGAUAUUCGGAAGAACACCAGUGGCGAAGGCGGCUCACUGGACUGGUAUUGACGCUGAGGUGCGAAAGCGUGGGGAGCAAACAGG